rnacentral:rRNA from 1 species
UACGAAGGGGGGCUAGCGUUGCUCGGAAUCACUGGGCGUAAAGGGUGCGUAGGCGGGUCUUUAAGUCAGGGGUGAAAUCCUGGAGCUCAACUCCAGAACUGCCUUUGAUACUGAAGAUCUUGAGUUCGGGAGAGGUGAGUGGAACUGCGAGCGUAGAGGUGAAAUUCGUAGAUAUUCGCAAGAACACCAGUGGCGAAGGCGGCUCACUGGCCCGAUACUGACGCUGAGGCACGAAAGCGUGGGGGAGCAAACAGG